UUAUGGCCACCUGUUGCUACUGUAAAGCAUAAGGGACUCUGCAUUUUGAAAAAUUCAUGGCUUAUACUAAUCAAGAGAAAUGUUUGCCGAAACAAGAUGUCUGCCGAGAACACACAAAAAAAAACGAAAAAAACAAAACAAAAAAAAAACACUUAUUUAUAACCAGAACCAAAUUUACUGGAAUGGGCUACCAUUAUCACUAAAAACUUUUACAAACUUCAAUUUAGCAAUACAAUACAAUACAAUACAAUAAACUUUAUUUAAGGAGGGUGACACGGUUAACCCAAAGAGUUAUCUAACACGUGGCCCUCAAUACUCACUGUAUUUAUGUAAUCAAAUGUAAAUAAAGUAUUGUUGUUGUUGUUGUCAUGGCCAGACUGAAAAUAUUUUUAGUUUCUUCAUUUCAAAACAGGUUAUUACGACAAUGCAAGUCUCAAAGUAUAAUAUGUCUGCUGAAGUCACUGUUACAUGCUGUUAUGCGAUGUUAGUACCAGCCCUUGUGUCACCAUUUGUGUUUUACACGCUUCAUGUUGAUUUGCGUGAAGUCGUCAACAAAUCAUUCAAAGCAUUGUUUAUCAAGGUCAAACAGAAUCGUCACAAUACACCAAGAGUUGUUCAAUCGAGUGUUAAUCAAGUCAUGGAACUAGAGGCAAAACUAUAGAAUCAUUCACAGGUUUACAAUGAAGGUCAAAAACCCAUGAACCAUAUAUAUUGCAUCUCUGCUGUAUUUACUGCAUUUUGCAUCAUGCUCAGACAAGAUACUAGAGUCGAGGAAAGAGAUAAAAAAAUGUUUAUUUUGUUAAUUUGGAAUUUUGUCUCUACAAAACAACAUCCUUGUACCAACCAGUUUAUCCAACUGAUACUUCUGUACAACUAAAAUACAUGUACUACUUUACAACUUACUAAUGAUAUAUUUUACAACUUGUGGGUAGAUUGAUUACAACAAAUUACAUUAUUAUACAUUCAGUAUGAAUGGAAGCAAAGCAAAAUGUAGUUACUUGAUAAAUAUGACGUUUGAUCUAUUAAACUAAAAGAAAUCAAGACAAAAAACUUGUUUAAUACCUCUUGCCAAGGAUAACCCAAUUAAACAUUAUUAUUUUAUGAACUA